rnacentral:lncRNA from 1 species
CUUUCUUUUCAAAUAUGUAAUAGCAGGAUUAUUGAAAAUAUGAUUGACAAUCAUCUCCAUAUGUAGUUUUUGGACAUAUAUCUUCAUUAUCAUCAAAUUUGUUGCAACUUUGUUCUCAACAUGUCCUCAAUCUGAACCAUCGAAUCAUUGAACCAUAGGCUCUGAUACUAUUUGUUGGGUUCGAAAUUGAGAGGGCGUCAUGCGGAAGCUAUUAGUUGCAAACUAUGAGACGAUAAAUAAGAUGACAACGAAAAACAAUACUAACAACAUAAUUUUAUUAUAUGAUUUGGCCAAUUGGCCUACAUAUAAAACCUAAUAUUAAAAACAUAAAACUAAUAAGAGAGAAAAUCUCCUCCUAAACGAAAAUCUUACAACUACA